rnacentral:rRNA from 1 species
UACGUAGGUGGCAAGCGUUGUCCGGAUUUACUGGGCGUAAAGAGCGCGCAGGCGGUCGUGCAAGUCGCGUGUGAAAGCCCCCGGCUCAACUGGGGAGGGUCACGCGAUACUGCUCGACUCGAAGGCAGGAGAGGGAAGUGGAAUUCCCGGUGUAGUGGUGAAAUGCGUAGAUAUCGGGAGGAACACCAGUGGCGAAGGCGACUUCCUGGCCUGUUAUUGACGCUGAGGCGCGAAAGCUAGGGUAGCAAACGGG